CCUACGGGAGGCAGCAGUGGGGAAUAUUGGACAAUGGGCGGAAGCCUGAUCCAGCAACGCCGCGUGAGGGAUGACUGCCUUCGGGUUGUAAACCUCUUUCAGCACAGACGAAGCGAAAGUGACGGUAUGUGCAGAAGAAGCACCGGCCAACUACGUGCCAGCAGCCGCGGUAAUACGUAGGGUGCGAGCGUUGUCCGGAAUUAUUGGGCGUAAAGGGCUCGUAGGCGGUUUGUCGCGUCGGGAGUGAAAACACACAGCUUAACUGUGUGCUUGCUUCCGAUACGGGCAGACUAGAGGUAUGCAGGGGAGAACGGAAUUCCUGGUGUAGCGGUGAAAUGCGCAGAUAUCAGGAGGAACACCGGUGGCGAAGGCGGUUCUCUGGGCAUUACCUGACGCUGAGGAGCGAAAGUGUGGGGAGCGAACAGGAUUAGAUACCCUGGUAGUCCACACCGUAAACGUUGGGCGCUAGGUGUGGGGCCUAUUCCAUGGGUUCCGUGCCGCNGCUACGCAUAGCGCCCGCCGUCGGGAGGUACGGCCGCGAGGACGUAAACUACGAAGAAGUAGACGGCGNGAGACGUGCCGACGGACGACGACGAGGGAGGAGG
rnacentral:rRNA from 1 species